UACGGGGGGGGCAAGCGUUGUUCGGAAUUACUGGGCGUAAAGGGCUCGUAGGCGGCCAAUUAAGUCCGACGUGAAAUCCCCAGGCUUAACCUGGGAACUGCGUCGGAUACUGGAUGGCUUGAAUUCGGGAGAGGGAUGCAGAAUUCCAGGUGUAGCGGUGAAAUGCGUUGAUAUCGGUGGGAACGCCAGUGGCGAAAGCGGCAAACUUGACCCUUCCUGACGCUGAUGCGCGAAAGCUAGGGGAGCGAACGGG
rnacentral:rRNA from 1 species